AAUGAGCGUUGGCGGCGUGGAUUAGACAUGCAAGUCGCGCGAGAAGUCAUUUAGCUUGCUAAAAGACGGACAGCGGCGGAAGGGAGAGUAACGCGUGGUUAUGUACCCUCGAGACCGGGAUAGUGUCGGGAAACUGGCCGUAAUACCGGAUAACAUCGUCGGAUCAACUGGUGUGAUUCCGCCCGAGGAUCGGACCGCGUACUAUUAGCUAGUUGGAGGGGUAAUGGCCCACCAAGGCUUAGAGGGUUACCGGUGGUGAGAGCAUGGCCCGGCUCACUGGGACUGAGACACUGCCCAGACAUCUACGGAUGGCUGCAGUCGAGAAUCUUCGGCAAUGGACGAAAGUCUGACCGAGCGACGCCGCGUGCGGGAUGAAGGCCUUCGGGUUGUAAACCGCUGUCAGUUAGGAGGAAAUCCAUGAGGGUUCUCUCUCAUGGUUGACCGAUUUUCAGAGGAAGGACGGGCUAAGUUCGUGCCAGCAGCCGCAGUAAAAC
rnacentral:rRNA from 1 species